CCUACGGGUGGCUGCAGUGGGGAAUAUUGGACAAUGGGCGAAAGCCUGAUCCAGCCAUGCCGCGUGUGUGAAGAAGGCCUUCGGGUUGUAAAGCACUUUCAGUGGGGAAGAAAGCCUUGGGGCUAAUACCCUCGAGGAAGGACAUCACCCACAGAAGAAGCACCGGCUAACUCCGUGUCAGCAGCCGCGGUAAUACGGAGGGUGCGAGCGUUAAUCGGAAUUACUGGGCGUAAAGCGCGCGUAGGCGGUCUGAUAAGCCGGUUGUGAAAGCCCCGGGCUCAACCUGGGAACGGCAUCCGGAACUGUCAGGCUAGAGUGCAGGAGAGGAAGGUAGAAUUCCCGGUGUAGCGGUGAAAUGCGUAGAGAUCGGGAGGAAUACCAGUGGCGAAGGCGGCCUUCUGGACUGACACUGACGCUGAGGUGCGAAAGCGUGGGUAGCAAACAGGAUUAGAUACCCCAGUAGUC
rnacentral:rRNA from 1 species